UACUCUUCAACAGACCAAUGUGCCAGUCUUUCUGGCAUGUUGUUCAAGUUUAUACGCCUCUUGGUCAGAGUUCAAUUGUAUUUUGAUAAUAUCACAACUGGUAGCAUUGGAUCCCUUGGCAUGCCAUUCGAUGAAGACCGUAGCAAAUUGCGAUAAGUGGUGUGAUAUGCGAGUCCAAAACUUAUACGUGAACCAUCGAAUUGUUGAACGCAUCGCAUCGAGCUUUGCCCAAGCACGAUAUGUCCCAUUGAGCGUCAUUAUGUAUUUGGAUUCCAAUCCAAGUUCAGGAUUCAUGGACCUUAAGUGGACCACGCUUCCUUAGAUGCAUCGGCACCAGAUGGAAUGGUAAUCUCCUUGUUGUAAACUUCAAGGUAUCCGUGUCAUCUACUUGCUGUUGACUGGCUUUGGUCAGUCAGAAUGAGGAUGUCUAUGACAAUUACCUCUUCCAAACAUGAUCUCAAGGGGGCAAGACAACCCGCUAGACUUAAGCAUAUUAAUCAGCGGAGGAAAAGAAACUAACAAGGAUUCCCCCAGUAACUGCGAGUGAAGAGGGAUUAGCUCAACGUGUGAAUCUGACGAGGUCUAACACCUUGUUCGACUUGUGCACUAUUGACACUGGCUCAGCGUAUGAAUGCUAAAGGUGGAUGUCCGAUGAAACACGGCACCAUAGCGGGUCACAGUCCUAUAUAUGCCUAUUGGCAUUUACGCAUAUGAACAGUGCUCAUCGAGUCGUGUAGUUUUGUAUUGCUGCACAAAUUGGGAGGUAGAGCCCUUCUAAAGCUAAAUAUUAUGGCAUGACCGAUAGCAAACAAGUACCGUGAGGGAAAGGUGAAAAGCAACCAUGCAGAAUGGGUUGAAAGAGCAGUGAAAGUGCUACCGGGAUAAGGGCUAGUGAUUGCAAGUGCAGAUUGCAUGUGCUUCAGUGCUAUGCUAACUGCCAUCAUGCAUCGAUUGGGUUGGGGAGAACAGGUCAGUGGAGAUUCAGCUCGAUCCAGAGUGUUGUAAUCCACCAGACAA
rnacentral:rRNA from 1 species